rnacentral:rRNA from 1 species
GGUGAAUUUAGGCAUCUGAUGAGCGCGCGCGUGAGUGAAGAGGCCUUCGGGUUGUAAAGCUCUGUUGUCAGGGACGACGUUGUUAGUUGAUACCGCGGGCCUUGACCGUUACCUGAAAAAAAAGCCCCGGCUAAUUCCUGCCCACCACCCGCAGUUA